CGACCGGCGCACGGGUGAGUAACACGUAUCCAACCUGCCGAUAACUCGGGGAUGGCCUUUCGAAAGAAAGAUUAAUAUCCGAUAGGAUAUCAAGAUCGCAUGAUCUUGAUAUUAAAGAAUUUCGGUUAUCGAUGGGGAUGCGUUCCAUUAGUUAGUUGGCGGGGUAACGGCCCACCAAGACGACGAUGGAUAGGGGUUCUGAGAGGAAGGUCCCCCACAUUGGAACUGAGACACGGUCCAAACUCCUACGGGAGGCAGCAG
rnacentral:rRNA from 1 species